CCGCCGUGCCCAGUCGCCGCUCAUGUCGCCGGCGCCAUCCUCGUCUAAACUGUUGCCGGAGCUCAACGCCACCGCUGCCGCCGCUGAAAACUCUCUCUAAAGCCUGUUUGCUUGGAUAUAUGGUCACCGCGAGUUUCUCUGCCGCCGUCCAAGCUGCCACCAGAAGGAUCCCCCACAGCCUCCUCUGUUCUUGUCUUCGAAUCAGAACUACCAUUUUCCAAUUUCAAUCUCAAUUCUACUAUUUCUGAAUAUGUAACUCCUUUAUCCUUGCUCUGCUGCCAUUUUAUUCCUCUGCUAUAAUCUUUUAAUUAUGACCGCGUAUGUCUCUGUUUUAGUUCUGCUAAGGUAUGUUUGAAAAAUUAAA